CCCGCUCAGAAACUUAAAGGAAGUUGACGGGGCCCGGCACAAGCGGUGGAGUAUGUGGUUAAUUCGAUGCAACGCGAAGAACCUUACCUGGUCUUGACAUCCCGGAGACCCUUAGGAAACUAGGGGUGCUUCCAUCUGGAAGAAUCUGGAGACAGGUGCUGCAUGGCUGUCGUCAGCUCGUGUCGUGAGAUGUUGGGUUAAGUCCCGCAACGAGCGUAACCCUUGCCUUUAGUCGCCAGCAGUUCGGCUGGGCACUCUAAAGGGACUGCCGGUGUUAAACCGGAGGAAGGUGGGGAUGACGUCAAGUCCUCAUGGCCUUUAUGACCAGGGCUACACACGUACUACAAUGGCCGAUACAAAGGGCAGCGACACUGCGAGGUGAAGCCAAUCCCGUAAAAUCGGUCUCAGUCCGGAUUGGAGUCUGCAACUCGACUCCAUGAAGUUGGAAUCGCUAGUAAUCGUGGAUCAGCAUGCCACGGUGAAUACGUUCCCGGGCCUU
rnacentral:rRNA from 1 species